GUGGGUAGGUGGGAGAAUGGAUGAUGGAUGGAUGGAUGGAUGGAUGGAUGGAUAAAUGGAGGGAUGCAUGAUGAACUUCUCCCUUGUUCCCAGCCUAGUCCUAGAAUAUGUUGCCUCUUCUCAAAAAUAAGGUACCACAAAGCCUCUGGUGACGGUGGAGCAAAGGAAUAGAUGGUGAAUGUCUCAUACCCACUUCGGAUCCAGAACAGGCCUAGGAGAGACUCAGGUGGGAUCUGCUGCUGAGGAAGGGGGUUGGGGCUGAAGUUGGAGGAGGAGGGCAGCUCUAAACCACCUGUUCCUGGCUCUAGGCCUCUCAGGCCAGACAGCCCCCACCCGUUUCUGCAGAUGCCCGCAUCAUGGUCCUGAGGGGAUGGGGGCUGGCCUGGAGCCUUUCCCCCGUGGUGUGUGGCUAUAGCGGGGACAUGAAGGGGGUGUGUUGGGGACGUAGUGACCACUCCCUUCUACCGUCAGAGAUCCUGCUUCCCCCUGCCCCCUGCCCCUCCUCGGCUGCCCUUCAUAACCCCCCACCCACUCCCCACCUGCCAUCUCCUGUGCUUGUGCGGAUCCAGGAAGCACCUACCUGGGCACAGAGAUCAUCGCUCGGUGCCUCGCCCCUACACAAGGGCGAUUAACUUCUCUGUUAUGAACUCCUACUUAGUAAUUCUGACAUGAAACUCCCACUAGGAUAAAACUUGGCGCAGAACAGCAAUUACUGAAAACACAUUUUUAAAAAGGUUGAUGUUUUGUAAGAGUUCAUCCUCCUCCACUCCUCAGCCUCCCUCAAGGAGACACAUAUUUAGAUCUUCUCUGUGUGAGUCUAACUUGGAGACUGUGAGUUGCAGUUUAAAAGGGGCUCUGGGGCCAGGUGCGGUGGCACACACUUGUGGUCUCAGCUACUCAAGAGGCUGAGAUGUGAGGAACGCUUGAGCCCAGGAGUUCAAGACCAGCCUGAGCAACAUAGGGAGAUGGGAUCUACCCAAAACAUUUAACAAUAAGGCUGGCAUGGUGGCAUAUGCCUGUGGUCCCAGCUACUUGGAGGCUGAGGCAGGAGAAUCAUUUAAGCCUGGGAGAUCGAGGCUGCAGUGAGGUAUGGUUUCAACUGCUGUGCUCCAGCCUGGGAGACAGGGCAAUACUGUGUCUCUAAAAAAUAAAAAAUAAAAAUAAAAAAAUAAAGGGCUCUGAGCCCAGCCCUCUGGCCAGGGCCUGGUGCAGUGGCAGAGGCUUGGGUCCCUGCCAGGUCUCCUGAAACGUCUCCAGGGUCUGCUGGGGCAGCCACCUGGGUGCUCAGUUGCUCUGUUAAACAGCAAAAUUCCCAAGUCCUCAUCUCAAUGAGCCACUGAGGCCGAUGAAGAGGGCCUGUCUCAUUUAGGACAUGAGUGGCCAGGCGGGUGCCACAGGCCCUUUUCCUGGUGACAACAAAGCCAUUGCAUGGCUCCAGGAAGGCCACAUCAUUUCCCGGGCUUCGUAGGCACCUGCGGGGCGGAAACAGUUCAGCAGGGCCCUCCUGAUCACAAGGAAGAGGUCAUACCGGCUGCUGCACGGCAGGGCUGCACUCUGCCAGGGAGCGUCCUGUGAGGGAGGGGCUGCACUGCCACUUUACUGAUGAGGAAAUUAAGGUUCAGAGAGAUGAGGUCAUUUGUUAGAGGCCAGACAGCCUCCUCAGCCCAUUUCUAAGGUUGUUUCUGUGGUAUUUGCCAUAAAGCCAUAGGUUCAUUGAUUUGUUCUUAAGUAGUUCUGAGCCCUUCCUGCAUAUCAGGCAGGGACAAACAGGAAAGUCCCUGCCUUUGGCAAGUGCGGGGGAAAUGAAAUGAUUCUGCUCAGCCUCAUCCAUUGGUCUGAACAAUCACGUCUCAUGACCGCAGGGACACGGCUUCCCCUGAACGCGGAUCCUAGAGGCCAGGCAGAAGCAGCAUGGGUUUCCACUCACACGGUAGGCGGCUGUGCAAUUUCGUCUGGAGUCCGCAGACCCCUCCUCAUCCUUCCCAGGGUUGCUCUGAGGCCAUUCCUCGUCAUCUAGGAGGGGUCUACAUAAAAGCAUUUAUAAACACCUCCAAAUGGGAGCCAGGCGUGCCCACCUUUGGAGCACUUUUCUCUACUGCAAAUUUAUCUACUGCUCGUGAAAUCUCUGGAUUUAACUCUGAUGAAAGACUGGAGGCUGAAGGAGAACUUCAAUAUCAUAUAUUUUAAAGGUUGAUUCACAGUUUGGAGCAAGAAUUAAAGAACCACGAACUUCAAGGUAAAACGGGCAACGGCGUUGGGGCAAGCCUCUCUGCAUCUGCGUGUCCAGCCUCUCCUGCAUGCCAGAAGUCCCCAGGCAGGAGUGUGGUGGGACAUCCGGCUGGGGUGAUGUAAAAUUCUCAAACAAUGAGAUAGAUAAAAAGUACGCAGCCAAAAAGUUCAAGAAGAAGUGUUAUGGAGAUGGAGCAGGCCCUUCGUAAAAACACGAUGUUGGUUUUCUGGAUUUUGGAGGCCUCACAAAACCCGGAUCAGACUCGCCCACUGCCCUGUGUCUGCCCUCCCGACCGCCUCUCCUGCCCAGCAGGGAUGAGGGUGGCAGUGGUGCUGUGUGGAGGGUGGCGGGAGGACCUGGAAGACUGCGACCAGUGAGCCGGGAGGCCUUGGGACAGCCUCUCUCUGAAUCAUCCUGUGCACUGCCGGGUGUGACAGAGGCUCCUAGAAUCCUGUCUCAAGUGGCCGCCUUCACAGAGGGAGUCACUGACGUCCCUGCUCAGCGCAGCCCUGGCAUGUGGGGGUCCCUCUACUCAUGAGAAACCCCCACCCAAUCACCGUGAGAUGAAGAAAUGGGGCCUGGCGAGGAGCAAAGCCCAGAACUGCUGCCCACCACCCUCCCUGCCUGGUGCUUUCCUGGGAACAUGUGGGAGCCCCUGCCUGGACCUUGGGACCUCCCAUCUGUA
rnacentral:lncRNA from 1 species